rnacentral:rRNA from 1 species
GAUGAACGCUGGCGGCGUGCCUAAUACAUGCAAGUCGAGCGAACGGACGAGAAGCUUGCUUCUCUGAUGUUAGCGGCGGACGGGUGAGUAACACGUGGAUAACCUACCUAUAAGACUGGGAUAACUUCGGGAAACCGGAGCUAAUACCGGAUAAUAUUUUGAACCGCAUGGUUCAAAAGUGAAAGACGGUCUUGCUGUCACUUAUAGAUGGAUCCGCGCUGCAUUAGCUAGUUGGUAAGGUAACGGCUUACCAAGGCAACGAUGCAUAGCCGACCUGAGAGGGUGAUCGGCCACACUGGAACUGAGACACGGUCCAGACUCCUACGGGAGGCAGCAGUAGGGAAUCUUCCGCAAUGGGCGAAAGCCUGACGGAGCAACGCCGCGUGAGUGAUGAAGGUCUUCGGAUCGUAAAACUCUGUUAUUAGGGAAGAACAUAUGUGUAAGUAACUGUGCACAUCUUGACGGUACCUAAUCAGAAAGCCACGGCUAACUACGUGCCAGCAGCCGCGGUAAUACGUAGGUGGCAAGCGUUAUCCGGAAUUAUUGGGCGUAAAGCGCGCGUAGGCGGUUUUUUAAGUCUGAUGUGAAAGCCCACGGCUCAACCGUGGAGGGUCAUUGGAAACUGGAAAACUUGAGUGCAGAAGAGGAAAGUGGAAUUCCAUGUGUAGCGGUGAAAUGCGCAGAGAUAUGGAGGAACACCAGUGGCGAAGGCGACUUUCUGGUCUGUAACUGACGCUGAUGUGCGAAAGCGUGGGGAUCAAACAGGAUUAGAUACCCUGGUAGUCCACGCCGUAAACGAUGAGUGCUAAGUGUUAGGGGGUUUCCGCCCCUUAGUGCUGCAGCUAACGCAUUAAGCACUCCGCCUGGGGAGUACGACCGCAAGGUUGAAACUCAAAGGAAUUGACGGGGACCCGCACAAGCGGUGGAGCAUGUGGUUUAAUUCGAAGCAACGCGAAGAACCUUACCAAAUCUUGACAUCCUUUGACAACUCUAGAGAUAGAGCUUUCCCCUUCGGGGGACAAAGUGACAGGUGGUGCAUGGUUGUCGUCAGCUCGUGUCGUGAGAUGUUGGGUUAAGUCCCGCAACGAGCGCAGCCCUUAAGCUUAGUUGCCAUCAUUAAGUUGGGCACUCUAAGUUGACUGCCGGUGACAAACCGGAGGAAGGUGGGGAUGACGUCAAAUCAUCAUGCCCCUUAUGAUUUGGGCUACACACGUGCUACAAUGGACAAUACAAAGGGCAGCGAAACCGUGAGGUCAAGCAAAUCCCAUAAAGUUGUUCUCAGUUCGGAUUGUAGUCUGCAACUCGACUACAUGAAGCUGGAAUCGCUAGUAAUCGUAGAUCAGCAUGCUACGGUGAAUACGUUCCCGGGUCU